rnacentral:sRNA from 1 species
GAAAAAGUUUGACCAGGAAAGGCGACUGUGUGUUGCUAUCCCAACCCAUUUUCGGCUUGUACAGAAGGUGUAUCUGCAAAAGGCUAAGGACCAUAUAUGAAUUUGGCCAUUGGAAUCGGGAUCCAGAAUUUCCCCGAGGGCCUGGCUGUCAGCCUUCCCUUGCGAGGGGCAGGCUUCUCCACCUGGAGAGCUUUCUGGUACGGGCAGCUGAGCGGCAUGGUGGAGCCCCUGGCCGGGGUCUUUGGUGCCUUUGCCGUGGUGCUGGCUGAACCCAUCCUGCCCUAUGCUCUGGCCUUUGCUGCCGGUGCCAUGGUCUACGUGGUCAUGGACGACAUCAUCCCCGAAGCCCAGAUCAGUGGUAAUGGGAAACUGGCAUCCUGGGCCUCCAUCCUGGGAUUUGUAGUGAUGAUGUCACUGGACGUCGGCCUGGGCUAGGGCUGAGACGCUUCGGACCCCAGGAAAGGCCAUAUGAGGAAACAGCAGUGGUUGGCUUCUGUGGGACAACAAGCUUCUUUCUUCACAUUAAAACUUUUUUCCUUCCUCUCUUCUUCAUCUCAUUAUCCUGAUUGACUCUGAUUAUAAUAGAACCAUUUUUACUUUGCUUUGAGGGAGAUUUUUGAUUUAAUGGGGAAUUUUAAGGUGUCAUGGAAAUAUGGAUUCUUUGUUUUGGCCACUGAAUGGACUCUCUCUUCAGUGGGAUUAUCAAGGAACUUCAGAUCAGGGAAAUCUCCGCUUUGGGACCUUCUAUCUGCCUCCCAACUCCUCAAGGUCACCUAUAGAAGCGAGCUACCAAGAGACAUCUCCUAAGCAUUUUGGUGGCCUAGUGACUCAGGGCAGAGUGGCCAGCACACCUCUCAUCCGCCCCUCCUGCUCCAUCACUGCUGAGCCUCUCCCCAUCUAGAAUGUUGGA